GUGUGCUUAGGGUCGUUGUCCUGUUGGAAGGUGAACCUCCGCCCCAGUCUGAGGUCCAGAACACUCUGGAGCAGGUUUUCAUCAAGGAUCUCUCUGUACUUUGCUCCGUUCAUCUUUCCCUUGAUGCUGACUAGUCUCCCAAUUCCUGCCGCU